CUGAGAUGUGCGAGCGCGCAGGGGUGCUUGGGGAGGACGCGACGGGAGAACGAAGCGCCUGGCAGAAUAUGCAGAUUUCCGGCUCCCAUUUUUGCAAAAAGUGAGAAAUGCGUGAAGACUACAAUAUGUAGAUAUAUUUUGAAGAAGAAUUGAACCUGCGAUCAAAAUUAUGGAUGAUUUGGAACGAUCGUUUCAAGAACUAUCAUUUGAAGUAUCAUCAAGCUUGGAGGAGGAAAGGUAUACGUUUGGUAUCGAAGAAUUGAGUGUUAGAGGUAGUGGAAGAUAUAAAUCACCAAAUUUAUGCUCUGAAUUAGAAAGGUUGUUGGACUAUUGUGAAGACUCCAAUGUCCAUGAAAAACAGACAUUAUUAAUGAGUUUACAUGGCAUUCUGAUAAUAAAAAGAAUACUUUGACUCGGGGAAUUAAAGAAAUUUUCCCACAUUCUCCAAAAAAGAAAAUAGUUGUUGGAUGUGAAAAUAUGUAUCUCCUUUUGAGAGUAUAAUGUAGUAAAUAGGACUAUGGAACAAUAUAAUUUAUACAUGUAUUAUAGUAAUUUCUUGGAAUACUGUACACAACCUUCAUCUACAUUGUGUGAUGUAUAUAAGUAUAUUGCUGUAGGGAUGAAUUAAGUCUAUUGUUUGCUUUGUGGUACACCAGUUGAAUUUCAUGUACAGUACAGUAUACCAAAGAGUGUUGGUGUUAUAAAGGAAUAUUAAUGAAUU